rnacentral:rRNA from 1 species
AUUGAACGCUGGCGGCAUGCUUUACACAUGCAAGUCGAACGGCAGCGCGGGCUUCGGCCUGGCGGCGAGUGGCGAACGGGUGAGUAAUACAUCGGAACGUGCCCAGUCGUGGGGGAUAGCUCGGCGAAAGCCGGAUUAAUACCGCAUACGACCUGAGGGUGAAAGCGGGGGAUCUUCGGACCUCGCGCUAUUGGAGCGGCCGAUGGCAGAUUAGCUAGUUGGUGUGGUAAAGGCCUACCAAGGCGACGAUCUGUAGCUGGUCUGAGAGGACGACCAGCCACACUGGGACUGAGACACGGCCCAGACUCCUACGGGAGGCAGCAGUGGGGAAUUUUGGACAAUGGGCGAAAGCCUGAUCCAGCAAUGCCGCGUGUGUGAUGAAGGCCUUCGGGUUGUAAAGCACUUUUGGCGGGAACGAAAAGGACUGUGCCAAUACCACGGUUCGAUGACGGUACCCGCAGAAUAAGCACCGGCUAACUACGUG